ACAUGAAGAGUUAUGGGAAGAAAUUGAAUCGAAGCCGGGUUACAUUUCAGAUGAAAAGAAAAAUACGAAAGCACGGUCAAAAAUCAUUUUAUUGAUAGACCUAGUAAACUAUGUCCAUGUUCAGGAAUCGACUUCAGCUAAGCAGGUAUGGGCAAAGUUAGAAAAAGUCUUCGAUGACUCCGGGCUAAGCAGGAAAGUAGGAUUACUGCGUGACUUGGUAACAACAACGUUGGAUAACUGUUCUGGUGUUGAGAACUAUGUUAAUAAGUUGCUGCCGAGUUGGAUGAAAAUUGCUGGUAUGUCGACUCUGGAGCGUCUCUACACAUGUGUCGGGACAAGAGAUGGAUGUACAAUGUUUCACCUUCUACAAUAAAUAAUAUCAAAGUGGCAGAUAACAAAAUGGUGGCAGUGAAGGGUUGUGGCAAUGUGGAUUUUAAUAUUAAGGACUCAGAUGGCAUAAUACGCAAAAUACAGACUUCAAAAAUAUUUCUGGACAGAAGCGGUUUCUACAGCCGCAUAUAUUGAAUCGCUCGCCGAUGAAAGCCUUGGAUUUCAAAACACCUUAUGAAAUGUGGACGGCAAGAAGAAAAUCAAGAAUCUCAUACUGACUCUGAUACUUAAUAUAAUACUGUAGUAAAUACAAGUUCAGGAGAUGAACAGUCGUUGAACGCCACCAGUGACGAAAUGAAAACAGAGUUAGAUGAUUCAGAAUAUGUACCUGAUGUGGAGAUAUCUGACGAAGAU